rnacentral:lncRNA from 1 species
GGAGGAGGAGUCGCACCAGAAGAACGCCAUGUGAAGAUGAAGGCAGAGACCUGAGUGAUGUGUCCACAGGCCCAAGAACAUGCCCAAGGAUUGCUGGCAACCGCCAGCCGCUGCGGGAAGGACUGGACCCGAUUCUCCCUCUGCAGGCCUGGAAGGCACCAACCCUGCCAGCACCUUGAUUUUUGACUUCUACCCUCCAUUACUGUGACAGAAUAAAUUUCUAUCAGGUCAAUUUUUACCAAGUUUGAGGUUCUUUGUUGUGGCAGCCCAGGGAAACUGGUACAGAGGCUGUUGUGAGUGAGUCCUGGCCGUGACACCGUCCCUCAGAUGCUGAGAGAGGGUUGCAGGGGACAUGAGCCUGUGAGAAUGAGGCCUGAUGGUGAAGCAUACUUUUCUGCAGGAUGAUGUGACCAGGGACAAACGCUGGCCCUGCCUGGCUGGUGCAGCCUCUGACUGGACACUGCAGGAGGUAAGAUGGGCCUCAUCAGCUGCUGCUAAUUGUACCAUUCUGAAAAUCUCCAGAAUAUUUUCAGCCCAUUUGCACUUAUCAAAUAUCAGGCUGGAAACCCAGCAGUUUGUGUAGGAUCUUUUCCAGAAUGAGGGGGAUUUCACAAACUUGGCCUUAUGUGGGGUGAGUUUCUUGGAACUUCGGCUUCCGAACAGGCCUAGCCUCCUGGUUCUGGGACCGCCCGCUUCUCACCGGCUUCCAGCCUCUCUUGGUGCACCUGGCCACCCCAUGAAAGACAACUUUCUGAACAGACUCUGCAGCCACAAGAUGUCUGCGUUCCUCUGGCUCUCUGGUUUCCCCUUUGCAUUCUUGGGAGUUACAUGACACUCAGCAACGAGUGAUGCUGGCAGUCUAAGGAAUACAAAGUUCAGAACCCCAGGCCGCUGCGGCCUCCACUGUGGUUUUUCUGAAGCUCCAUUUCGUUUGGGCUGGAGGUGAACACUUCCCUCCCGAGACCCCAGCAGGCGGGGGCUGAAGCAAAGUUCAAGGAACAGUCGCUUCCACCAUGGUUGGGUGUUUGUCUGGCACACAUGCAGCCUGACAGCAUGCUGACAGGAGGCCCAGGACCAGCAGGCAGGUCUGGACAGACUGGAGGAGUGGCCGUGGGGAGACUGGGUGCACCUGGCUCCCUGCUCCUUCCAGCAGCGGCCUGACAGGGCACUCAUCAUUAGCUCUCCAAAUGCUUUCAUUAAAAGUUCCAUGUUACCUGACACUUGGACGUAAUUAAAACAGAACAACCGUUUGCAGUUAAUUUUACUUUUAUGACCUCCACAGACUUUUACAAGGAAGUCUCAGGUCACCUCAUUUUCAAAGGGAAGCCAAGAAGGACACCGUAGGUCCCAAGAAAGGACGGAGAACAGAGCCCCGUACCCCCUCAGAUUCAGAAAUAAAAAGAUGAAAGAAAAGACACGUAGUGGUUUAUGAUUCUAAAAGUAACACAUGGUUACAGAGGACAAUUUGGAAGACACAGAAAAGUAUGAAAGAUAAAAUAGAAGCCACCUACAAUCCCAUCCCUAGAGACCACUGUGGAUGUUCUGGGGUAUAAAUACCCUUCCUGGUUAUGAAAAUAUCUCUUCACAUCUGUGCCAUAAAAAU